UGGGGAAUAUUGCACAAUGGGCGAAAGCCUGAUGCAGCGACGCCGCGUGAGGGAUGACGGCCUUCGGGUUGUAAACCUCUUUCAGCAGGGAAGAAGCGAAAGUGACGGUACCUGCAGAAGAAGCGCCGGCUAACUACGUGCCAGCAGCCGCGGUAAUACGUAGGGCGCAAGCGUUGUCCGGAAUUAUUGGGCGUAAAGAGCUCGUAGGCGGUUAGUCGCGUCUGCUGUGAAAACUCGAGGCUCAACCUCGGGCUUGCAGUGGGUACGGGCUGACUAGAGUGCGGUAGGGGUGACUGGAAUUCCUGGUGUAGCGGUGGAAUGCGCAGAUAUCAGGAGGAACACCGAUGGCGAAGGCAGGUCACUGGGCCGCAACUGACGCUGAGGAGCGAAAGCAUGGGGAGCGAACAGGAUUAGAUACCCUGGUAGUCCAUGCCGUAAACGUUGGGCACUAGGUGUGGGGUCCAUUUCCACGGAUUCCGUGCCGCAGCAAACGCAUUAAGUGCCCCGCCUGGGGAGUACGGCCGCAAGCUAAAACUCAAAGGAAUUGACGGGGUCAUAGCUGUUCCU
rnacentral:rRNA from 1 species